UUAACUAUUAUAUAGUACUCAGACAUCACUAAAAUUCAGAGUUUGGUCCUCUGGCAGGCACACGCAGGCAGAGCCCGCGGUGGAGGCCACGGCCUGCCAAAGCAACAAGAGUAUAUAGACACGGAUGGGGUAUACCCGAAGGUAUCCUUUUAUUAAUGAUCCUUCCGCAGGUUCACCUACGGAAA
rnacentral:misc_RNA from 1 species